AGUGAACGCUGGCGGCGUGCCUAAUACAUGCAAGUCGAACGGAGUGGCGCACGGGUGAGUAAUAUAUAGCUAAUCUGCCCCUUGCUGGAGGACAACAGUUAGAAAUGACUGCUAAUACUCCAUAGCAAGGGAUGUGACUAUAUCGUAUCAGCUAGUCGGUGGGGUAACGGCCUACCGAGGCUAUGACGCGUAACUGGACUGAGAGGAUGAUCAGUCACAUUGGAACGGAGACACGGUCCAAACACCUACGGGAAGCGGCAGAAGGGAAUAUUGCGCAAUGGGGGAAACCCUGACGCGGCAACGGCGCGUAGAGGAUGACACUUUUCGGGGCGGAAACGCCUGUUGUUAGGGAGGCGGUACCUAACGAAUAAGCACCGGCUAACUCCGUGCCAGCAGCCGCGGUAAUUC
rnacentral:rRNA from 1 species